UGGCUCAGUUGGUAGAGCAUGGUGUUUGCAAUGCCAGCAUGGUGUGUGCAACACCAGGGUUGUGGGUUCGAUUCCCAC
rfam:Salmo salar isolate Sally breed double haploid chromosome ssa17, whole genome shotgun sequence.